UGGGGAAUAUUGCACAAUGGGCGCAAGCCUGAUGCAGCCAUGCCGCGUGUGUGAAGAAGGCCUUCGGGUUGUAAAGCACUUUCAGCGAGGAGGAAGGUGGUGGACUUAAUACGUUCAUCAAUUGACGUUACUCGCAGAAGAAGCACCGGCUAACUCCGUGCCAGCAGCCGCGGUAAUACGGAGGGUGCAAGCGUUAAUCGGAAUUACUGGGCGUAAAGCGCACGCAGGCGGUUUGUUAAGUCAGAUGUGAAAUCCCCGGGCUCAACCUGGGAACUGCAUUUGAAACUGGCAAGCUAGAGUCUCGUAGAGGGGGGUAGAAUUCCAGGUGUAGCGGUGAAAUGCGUAGAGAUCUGGAGGAAUACCGGUGGCGAAGGCGGCCCCCUGGACGAAGACUGACGCUCAGGUGCGAAAGCGUGGGGCAGCAAACAGGAUUAGAUACCCUGGUAGUCCACGCUGUAAACGAUGUCGAUUUGGAGGUUGUGCCCCUUGAGGCGUGGNUUCCGGAGCUAACGCGUUAAAUCGACCGCC
rnacentral:rRNA from 1 species